UAAUACGUAGGGUGCGAGCGUUAAUCGGAAUUACUGGGCGUAAAGCGUGCGCAGGCGGUUUCGUAAGACAGAUGUGAAAUCCCCGGGCUUAACCUGGGAACUGCGUUUGUGACUGCGAGACUCGAGUGUGGCAGAGGGGGGUGGAAUUCCACGUGUAGCAGUGAAAUGCGUAGAGAUGUGGAGGAACACCGAUGGCGAAGGCAGCCCCCUGGGUCAACACUGACGCUCAUGCACGAAAGCGUGGGGAGCAAACAGGAUUAGAUACCCUGGUAGUCCACGCCCUAAACGAUGCGAACUAGGUGUUGGGGAAGGAGACUUUCUUAGUACCGCAGCUAACGCGUGAAGUUCGCCGCCUGGGGAGUACGGUCGCAAGAUUA
rnacentral:rRNA from 1 species